CCUACGGGAGGCAGCAGUGGGGAAUAUUGCGCAAUGGGCGAAAGCCUGACGCAGCGACGCCGCGUGAGGGAUGAAGGUCUUCGGAUCGUAAACCUCUGUCAGCAGGGAAGAACGGUCACUGUGCUAAUCAGCAGUGAAUUGACGGUACCUGCAAAGGAAGCACCGGCUAACUCCGUGCCAGCAGCCGCGGUAAUACGGCGGGUGCGAGCGUUAAUCGGGAUUACUGGGCGUAAAGCGCUCGUAGGCUGGGAGGUAAGUCAGCGGGGAAAUGCCCCCGCUCAACGGGGUGAAGUGCCAUUGAUACUGCCUGGCUGGAAUGCGGAAGCCGUGGGAGGAAUGUGUGGUGUAGCGGUGAAAUGCAUAGAUAUCACACAGAACACCGAUUGCGAAGGCAUCUCACGAAUCCGCGAUUGACGCUGAUGCACGAAAGCGUGGGUAUCAAACAGGAUUAGAUACCCGAGUAGUC
rnacentral:rRNA from 1 species